rnacentral:rRNA from 1 species
GAUGAACGCUGACAGAAUGCUUAACACAUGCAAGUCAACUUGAAUUUGGGUUUUUAACUUAGAUUUGGGUGGCGGACGGGUGAGUAACGCGUAAAGAACUUGCCUCACAGCUAGGGACAACAUUUAGAAAUGAACGCUAAUACCUAAUAUUAUGAUAAUAGGGCAUCCUAUAAUUAUGAAAGCUAUAUGCGCUGUGAGAGAGCUUUGCGUCCCAUUAGCUAGUUGGAGAGGUAACGGCUCACCAAGGCGAUGAUGGGUAGCCGGCCUGAGAGGGUGAUCGGCCACAAGGGGACUGAGACACGGCCCUUACUCCUACGGGAGGCAGCAGUGGGGAAUAUUGGACAAUGGACCGAGAGUCUGAUCCAGCAAUUCUGUGUGCACGAUGAAGUUUUUCGGAAUGUAAAGUGCUUUCAGUUGGGAAGAAAGAAAUGACGGUACCAACAGAAGAAGUGACGGCUAAAUACGUGCCAGCAGCCGCGGUAAUACGUAUGUCACGAGCGUUAUCCGGAUUUAUUGGGCGUAAAGCGCGUCUAGGUGGUUAUAUAAGUCUGAUGUGAAAAUGCAGGGCUCAACUCUGUAUUGCGUUGGAAACUGUAUAACUAGAGUACUGGAGAGGUAAGCGGAACUGCAAGUGUAGAGGUGAAAUUCGUAGAUAUUUGUAGGAAUGCCGAUGGGGAAGCCAGCUUACUGGACAGAUACUGACGCUGAAGCGCGAAAGCGUGGGUAGCAAACAGG